GACGAACGCUGGCGGCGUGCUUAACACAUGCAAGUCGAACGAAAAUACCAAGCUUGCUUGGUUGAUUAGUGGCGAACGGGUGAGUAACACGUGAGUAACCUGCCCCUUACUUUCCUGGAUAACUGCUCGAAAGGGUAGCUAAUACGGGAUAUUCUGACCAGCCUGCAUGGGUUGGUUUGGAAAGGUUGUUUUUCUGGUAAGGGAUGGGCUCGCGGCCUAUCAGCUUGUUGGUGGGGUGAUGGCCUACCAAGGCUUUGACGGGUAGCCGGCCUGAGAGGGUGGACGGUCACACUGGGACUGAGAUACGGCCCAGACUGCUACGGGAGGCAGCAGUGGGGAAUGUUGCGGAAUGGGGGCAAGCCUGAUGCAGCGACGCCGCGUGAGGGAUGAAUGCCUUCGGGUUGUAAACCUCUUUCGUCAGGGAACAAGGCACUGCUUUUUUGGUGGUGUUGAGGGUACCUGGAUAAGAAGCGCCGGCUAACUACGUG
rnacentral:rRNA from 1 species